CCUACGGGAGGCAGCAGUGAGGAAUAUUGGUCAAUGGCCGCAGGGCUGAACCAGCCAAGUCGCGUGAGGGAUGACGGUCCUAUGGAUUGUAAACCUCUUUUGUCAAGGGACAAAAUCAGGCUCGAGAGCCUGACCGAGGGUACUUGAAGAAAAAGCAUCGGCUAACUCCGUGCCAGCAGCCGCGGUAAUACGGAGGAUGCGAGCGUUAUCCGGAUUUAUUGGGUUUAAAGGGUGCGUAGGCGGACUGUUAAGUCAGCGGUACAAGCCCGGGGCUCAACCCCGGCGAGCCGUUGAAACUGGCUGUC
rnacentral:rRNA from 1 species